GACGAACGCUGGCGGCGUGCUUAACACAUGCAAGUCGAACGAGUGGCGAACGGGUGAGUAAUGUAUGGGGAUCUGCCCGAUUGAGGGGGAUAACUACUGGAAACGGUGGCUAAUCCCGCAUACUAUCGGAUGAACCCAUAUGGGAUUAGAUAGGAGGUGGGGUAAAGGCUCACCUAGGCGACGCUCUCUAGCUGGUCUGAGAGGAUGCUCAGCCACACUGGGACUGAGACACGGCCCAGACUCCUACGGGAGGCAGCAUGGGGGAAUAUUGCAGAAUUGGCGCAAGCCUGAUGCAGCCAGGCCGCGUGUAGGAAGAAGGCCUUAGGGUUGUAAAGUACUUUCAGCGGGGAGGCGUUACCCGCAGAAGAAGCACCGGCUAACUCCGUGCCAGCAGCCGCGGUAAUAC
rnacentral:rRNA from 1 species